UAGAAGUUAGUUAAAAUUUAUAACAUAUAUUUGUCAUAUAUAAGUUGUCUUUAGACACCUCUUU
rnacentral:tRNA from 1 species